rnacentral:rRNA from 1 species
UACGGAGGGUGCAAGCGUUGUUCGGAAUCAUUGGGCGUAAAGCGCGUGUAGGCGGCCCGGUAAGUCCGCUGUGAAAGUCCAGGGCUCAACCCUGGGAUGCCGGUGGAUACUGUCGGGCUCGAGUCCGGAAGAGGCGAGUGGAAUUCCUGGUGUAGCGGUGAAAUGCGCAGAUAUCAGGAGGAACACCGAUGGCGAAGGCAGCUCGCUGGGACGUGACUGACGCUGAGACGCGAAAGCGUGGGGAGCAAACAGG